rnacentral:rRNA from 1 species
AUUGAACGCUGGCGGUAGGCCUAACACAUGCAAGUCGAACGCGAAAGUCCUUCGGGAUGAGUAGAGUGGCGGACGGGUGAGUAACGCGUAGGAAUCUAUCCUGUAGUGGGGGAGUAACGUUUCGAAAGGAACGCUAAUACCGCAUACGCCCCACGGGGGAAAGCGGGGGAGUCUUCGGACCUCGUGCUAUAGGAGGAGCCUGUGUCGGAUUAGCUAGUUGGUGAGGUAAAGGCUCACCAAGGCGACGAUCCGUAGCUGGUCUGAGAGGAUGAUCAGCCACACCGGAACUGAGACACGGUCCGGACUCCUACGGGAGGCAGCAGUGGGGAAUAUUGCGCAAUGGGCGAAAGCCUGACGCAGCCAUACCGCGUGUGUGAAGAAGGCCUCGGGUUGGUUAAAGAC